UAAUACAGAGGGUGCAAGCGUUAAUCGGAAUUACUGGGCGUAAAGGGUGAGUAGGUGGUAAAUUAAGUUAUGUGUGAAAUCUUUGAGCUUAACUUAAAAACUGCACAUAAUACUGAAUUACUAGAGUACUGUAGAGGGUAGUGGAAUUUCCGGUGUAGCGGUAAAAUGCGUAGAUAUCGGGAGGAACACCAGUGGCGAAGGCGGCUACCUGGACAGAUACUGACACUAAUACACGAAAGCGUGGGGAGCAAACAGG
rnacentral:rRNA from 1 species